UCUGCAUGGAGCCGACCUUGAAAUACCACCCUUUAAUGUUUGAUGUUCUAACGUUGACCCGUAAUCCGGGUUGCGGACAGUGUCUGGUGGGUAGUUUGACUGGGGCGGUCUCCUCCUAAAGAGUAACGGAGGAGCACGAAGGUUGGCUAAUCCUGGUCGGACAUCAGGAGGUUAGUGCAAUGGCAUAAGCCAGCUUGACUGCGAGCGUGACGGCGCGAGCAGGUGCGAAAGCAGGUCAUAGUGAUCCGGUGGUUCUGAAUGGAAGGGCCAUCGCUCAACGGAUAAAAGGUACUCCGGGGAUAACAGGCUGAUACCGCCCAAGAGUUCAUAUCGACGGCGGUGUUUGGCACCUCGAUGUCGGCUCAUCACAUCCUGGGGCUGAAGUAGGUCCCAAGGGUAUGGCUGUUCGCCAUUUAAAGUGGUACGCGAGCUGGGUUUAGAACGUCGUGAGACAGUUCGGUCCCUAUCUGCCGUGGGCGCUGGAGAACUGAGGGGGGCUGCUCCUAGUACGAGAGGACCGGAGUGGACGCAUCACUGGUGUUCGGGUUGUCAUGCCAAUGGCACUGCCCGGUAGCUAAAUGCGGAAGAGAUAAGUGCUGAAAGCAUCUAAGCACGAAACUUGCC
rnacentral:rRNA from 1 species